UUUAAGAGAUCCGAUCUGGAUAGAUGAUUUCAAGCUCUCAGAUCCAAACGCCGCUCAUACUCAUGUUUGUCGAUUGGAGUGUGGAUAAGCAUGUAUGUGUGAAGGAUUCAAAAGGGGAAGAGAUGCAGAAAGGAGUUGAAUAAUUCCUGGAGCUGAGAGAACAAAAGCAAAACAAAGAACAAAAACGGCUCGUGGUGCUAGUUGACUUCGUUCGUCUAUUUGGAACCCUAGAUGUUGGGCCUUGCAUUCGUCUUCUCAAAAAGUGGUGAUUUUGAUUCAGGUUUGUAGAAGUUGGUAUAGAAAACGAUCAUGUACGUGACGAAAAUGUUUCUGAUGCUGAUACCGGGUUGAAUCAGGCAAGUUUGUAGUUUCUUGGAUUAUAUGUAUCAGUAAAUG